rnacentral:sRNA from 1 species
UGAAGACGGAACUCUGUUAGCACUAUAC